rnacentral:rRNA from 1 species
UACAGAGGGUGCUAACGUUGUUCGGAAUCACUGGGCAUAAAGCGCACGUAGGCGGCCCGUCAAGUGCGGUGUGAAAUCCCACGGCUUACCCGUGGAAAUGCGCUGCAGACUGACGGGCUCGAGGACGGUAGGGGAGAGCGGAACUCCUGGUGGAGCGGUGAAAUGCGUAGAUAUCAGGAGGAACACCGGUGGCGAAGGCGGCUCUCUGGUCCGUUUCUGACGCUGAGGUGCGAAAGCCAGGGGAGCAAACGGGAUUAGAUACCCCGGUAGUCCUGGCCGUAAACGAUGGGCACUAGCUAGAGGUCCUUCCUGUAGGGUCUCUGGCGAAGCGAAUGUGCUAAGUGCCCCGCCUGGGGAGUACGGUCGCAAGGCUGAA